UGGGGAAUAUUGCACAAUGGAGGAAACUCUGAUGCAGCGACGCCGCGUGAGCGAUGAAGUAUUUCGGUAUGUAAAGCUCUAUCAGCAGGGAAGAUAAUGACGGUACCUGAGUAAGAAGCUCCGGCUAAAUACGUGCCAGCAGCCGCGGUAAUACGUAUGGAGCAAGCGUUAUCCGGAAUUACUGGGUGUAAAGGGUGCGUAGGCGGCAUCGCAAGUCAGUUGUGAAACCCAAGGGCUCAACCCUUGGCUUGCAAUUGAAACUGCGGAGCUAGAGUACAGGAGAGGAAAGCGGAAUUCCUAGUGUAGCGGUGAAAUGCGUAGAUAUUAGGAAGAACACCAGUGGCGAAGGCGGCUUUCUGGACUGAAACUGACGCUGAGGCACGAAAGCGUGGGGAGCAAACAGGAUUAGAUACCCUGGUAGU
rnacentral:rRNA from 1 species